AGAGUUUGAUCCUGGCUCAGGACAAACGCUGGCGGCGUGCCUAACACAUGCAAGUCAAGGAGAACGUCCCCUUCGGGGGACUAUUAAACUGGCGGACGGGUGAGUAACGCGUAGGUAACCUGCCCCAGAGACCGGGACAACCCAUCGAAAGACGGGCUAAUACCGGAUGAUGCAGCGGAUCCUCAGGGAUAUGUUGUUAAAGGGGGCCUUCGGGUCCUGCUUUGGGAUGGGCCUGCGUCCGAUUAGUUAGUUGGUAAGAUAAAAGCUUACCAAGGCGAUGAUCGGUAGCUGGUCUGAGAGGAUGAUCAGCCACACUGGGAUUGAGAUACGGCCCAGACUCCUACGGGAGGCAGCAGUGGGGAAUCUUGCGCAAUGGGCGAAAGCCUGACGCAGCAACGCCGCGUGACUGAUGAAGCUUCUAGGAGUGUAAAGGUCUGUCGUGAGGGAAGAACAGUAUCCAUGUAAAUAGCAUGGGCAUUUGACGGUACCUCACAAGAAAGCACCGGCUAACUUCGUGCCAGCAGCCGCGGUAAUACGAGGGGUGCUAGCGUUGUCCGGAAUCACUGGGCGUAAAGGGCGCGUAGGCGUCUUAGCAAGCCUUGAUUGAAAUCCCCCGGCUCAACCGGGGAACUGGUCAGGGAACUGCUAGGAUAGAGUUUGGUAGGGGAGAGCGGAAUUCCUGGUGUAGCGGUGAUAUGCGUAGAUAUCAGGAGGAACACCUAAAGCGAAAGGCAGCUCUCUGGGCCAAUACUGACGCUGAGGCGCGAAAGCGGUGGGGAGCAAACAGGAUUAGAUACCCUGGUAGUCCACGCCGUAAAACG
rnacentral:rRNA from 1 species